rnacentral:lncRNA from 1 species
UUAUCAAUACUAAGCCAUAUUCAUAAGAGCAAUUAACAUUGAAAAUCAGAAAUGAAGCUUAGGAUUGAAAAUACAUCCAUAUUGCCAUGCUCAGGUUGAUUUUCUUUCCUAACUCCAGGUACUAGCAAGUCUCCUUUUUCAGGAGAUGGUAUGAGAUAGCCUACGAGCUUCCAAGUUUCCAUGGACACAAAAUUUAUCACAAUUCAGAAACUUCAAUAAGGCACAGUGUGAAAAAAAAUCAUUACUACAUUUCUCAAAGCUUCAAGACUUUCAGUUUUAAGGAAAGAAAAAGAUGCAUACACAGAGUAGCAGAUAGAUGAUAGUUCAAGGUAAGGCAUGAAAGAAGACAAGGCCAGUAGGGGACCCAAUUACUGGGACCAACAUUCCACAGCUCCUCCUAGAAUAAAACAAGAAGAAAUGGGCUUAAGCUAGUUUUAUGCCUGUAAGUACUUUCUGAGAAUAAUAGUUGCUAUUCUCUGAUUAAAGACUUAAAAGGGAUUUCAGAGUAGUCAGAUCCUUCCAAAAAAAUAAAUAUACAAUACUGAAGGCAAAGAGAUAUGCCACUCAACUUCAGCAGAUCCUUUCCAGUCCAUAAAAUGGGGAUGACCCCCUGCAGUGACUCCAACACUUCUAUUCUCAGAGUGUCUAAACCCAUCAUACAGACCUUCUCAGACUCUUGAUUCUUCAAGUGACAUAAUGCAUAGCAUAAAAAAAAAAAAAAAAC